ACAACUAUGCCAACAUGUAGUAGAUAUUGGAGGACCACAGAAACAUGUACAAUACAAGACCUUCUAUACUGAAGCUAACUUCCCAACAAACGACAAAUAUAUACCAGUAUGGAGACAUGAAAACUACAUUAAGGUGCACCAGCAUUUUUUUUAAUCCGUUUGCAUCUGUCGCCUGUAACGCAAACGUUGAUGUGUAUUUUAUCUUGUACCACGUUUCCAUAUGCAGCACUCUGAAUAUCAGAUAAAGAUGAAAGUCACUGCAGUUAUUAUUCUCUCCUGUCUCCUGACCCUGGCUAUGAUAUCUUCCGCUGCUCCAGUGAAGAAGAGGACAGGUGCGCUGUUUGGAUAUUUAUAUAUGCAUUCUCGAGAGUUAAGGAG